AUUAUAAUAAAUAAUUUUAAUAACAAGUUCUUUAAAAAUUAAUGAAAAUUAAAUUAGGGAAUUAAAAUUAAUAGAUAUAAAUUAAGUGCCAGCUAUAGCGGUUAAACUUAUUUUAUGAGUUUAUAAUUACGAAUAUUUAUUCUUUUAAAUAUAAAUUUAUAUUUAAUAUAUUGAUUAUAGGUGAAAUUUAAAUUAAUAUAAUAUAGUAUAAUAUUUUAUAUAUAUAUAUAGGAAAUUUAGGUAAUAGACUAGGAUUAGAUACCCUAUUAUACUAAAAUAAUAAAUAGUUUUAUCAUUAAAUGUCAAAUCAUUAAAAUAAAGUAAUAUGGCGGCCUUUCAAUCUUUUUAGGGAAAUUUGUCGUUUAAAUUGAUGAUCCACGAUAGGAUAUACUUAAAUUAUAUUUAUGUAUUGUUAUUAUAAUUUAUAAAUAGGAAUUAACAUAAAAAAAUAUUUAAUAGAAUAAAAUUUUAAAUCAAAAUGUAGUAUAUUUAAGAAUAGAUGAAUUAUAAUAAAUUAUAUUUUUGGAUAAUUAAUUUUAAUAUUAAUUAAAAAGAGGAUUUAAUAGUAAAUUUUUUAAAUUAUUUAAAUUGAAUAAAGUAUUGAUUGGUGUACAAAUUGCCCGUCAGUUUCUAACAGGAAUAAGUCGUAACAUAGUAAAUGUACUGGAAAGUGCUUUUAGAUAAAA
rnacentral:rRNA from 1 species